GAUGAACGCUGGCGGCGUGCCUAAUACAUGCAAGUCGAGCGAACAGACGAGGAGCUUGCUCCUCUGACGUUAGCGGCGGACGGGUGAGUAACACGUGGAUAACCUACCUAUAAGACUGGGAUAACUUCGGGAAACCGGAGCUUAUACCGGAUAAUAUAUUGAACCGCAUGGUUCAAUAGUGAAAGACGGUUUUGCUGUCACUUAUAGAUGGAUCCGCGCCGCAUUAGCUGGUUGGUAAGGUAACGGCUUAUCAAGGCAACGAUGCGUAGCCGACCUGAGAGGGUGAUCGGCCACACGGGAACUGAGACACGGUCCAGACUCCUACGGGAGGCAGCAGUCGGGAAUCUUACGCAAUGGGCGAAAGCCUGACGGAGCAACGCCGCGUGAGUGAUGAAGGUCUUCGGAGCGUAAAACUCUGUUAUUAGGGAAGAACAAAUGUGUAAGUAAAUAUGCACGUAUUGACGGUACCUAAUCAGAAAGCAACGGCUAACUACGUG
rnacentral:rRNA from 1 species